CUGAACUACACGAUUACUGAAUACACGAAAGGGGACUGUUCAUUUUCCUUCCCUCUUGCUCUAAGCUUAAACUCAUGGUGUUAGGGGUUUUCCAUGAUCUGGCUGGGUGUCCCACAUGGGAUACAGUGGAGGCAGGGUUCCCUUGUCCGUC